rnacentral:misc_RNA from 1 species
GUAGGUGAACCUGCGGAAGGAUCAUUCAUAAUAAAGUGUUUUAUGGCACUUUUUAAAAAUCCAUAUCCACCUUGUGUGCAAUGUUAGAUCUCGUCAAUCUUGGCGAGAUUUUUAUACAUCAACUCAUUCUUUAACUAAUUUGUCUGAAAAAUAUUAUGAAUACUUAAUUCAAAAUACAACUUUCAACAACGGAUCUCUUGGCUCUC